GAUUGAACGCUGGCGGUAUGCUUAACACAUGCAAGUCGAACGGAAACGAUACUAGCUUGCUAGUAGGCGUCGAGUGGCGGACGGGUGAGUAACGCGUAGGAAUCUGCCUGAUAGUGGGGGAUAGCCCGAAGAAAUUCGGAUUAAUACCGCAUAAUCUAUUCGUAGUAAAGUGGGGGACUUUCGAGCCUCACGCUAUCAGAUGAGCCUGCGUAAGAUUAGCUAGUUGGUAGGGUAAAAGCCUACCAAGGCUACGAUCUUUAGCUGGUCUGAGAGGAUGAUCAGCCACAUCGGGACUGAGACACGGCCCGAACUCCUACGGGAGGCAGCAGUGGGGAAUAUUGGACAAUGGGGGCAACCCUGAUCCAGCAAUACCGCGUGUGUGAAGAAGGCCUGAGGGUUGUAAAGCACUUUCAAUUGUGAAGAAAAGUUAACGGUUAAUAACCGUUAGCCUUGACGUUAACUUUAGAAGAAGCACCGGCUAACUCCGUGCCAGCAGCCGCGGUAAUACGGAGGGUGCAAGCGUUAAUCGGAAUUACUGGGCGUAAAGCGUGCGUAGGCGGUUUAUUAAGUCAGAUGUGAAAGCCCCGGGCUUAACCUGGGAACUGCAUUUGAAACUGGUCAACUAGAGUAUGGUAGAGGAAAGUGGAAUUUCUGGUGUAGCGGUGAAAUGCGUAGAUAUCAGAAGGAACAUCAAUGGCGAAGGCAGCUUUCUGGACCAAUACUGACGCUGAGGUACGAAAGCGUGGGUAGCAAACAGGAUUAGAUACCCUGGUAGUCCACGCCGUAAACGAUGAUAACUAGCCGUUGGGGGGAUUUACCCUUUAGUGGCGAAGCUAACGCGUUAAGUUAUCCGCCUGGGGAGUACGGCCGCAAGGUUAAAACUCAAAGGAAUUGACGGGGACCCGCACAAGCGGUGGAGCAUGUGGUUUAAUUCGAUGCAACGCGAAGAACCUUACCUGGUCUUGACAUCCUGCGAACUUUCUAGAAAUAGAUUGGUGCCUUCGGGAACGCAGUGACAGGUGCUGCAUGGCUGUCGUCAGCUCGUGUCGUGAGAUGUUGGGUUAAGUCCCGUAACGAGCGCAACCCCUAUCCUUAUUUGCCAGCACGUCAUGGUGGGAACUAUAAGGAGACUGCCGGUGAUAAACCGGAGGAAGGCGGGGACGACGUCAAGUCAUCAUGGCCCUUACGAUCAGGGCUACACACGUGCUACAAUGGGAAGGACAAAGAGCCGCGAAGCCGCGAGGUGUAGCUAAUCUCAGAAACCUUUUCGUAGUCCGGAUUGGAGUCUGCAACUCGACUCCAUGAAGUCGGAAUCGCUAGUAAUCGUAGAUCAGAAUGCUACGGUGAAUACGUUCCCGGGUCUUGUACUCACCGCCCGUCAAG
rnacentral:rRNA from 1 species